ACUACGGGGGGCAGCAGUGGGGAAUAUUGCACAAUGGGGGGAACCCUGAUGCAGCGACGCCGCGUGAGUGAAGAAGUAUUUCGGUAUGUAAAGCUCUAUCAGCAGGGAAGAAAAUGACGGUACCUGACUAAGAAGCCCCGGCUAACUACGUGCCAGCAGCCGCGGUAAUACGUAGGGGGCAAGCGUUAUCCGGAUUUACUGGGUGUAAAGGGAGCGCAGACGGCUGUGCAAGUCUGGAGUGAAAGGCGGGGGCCCAACCCCCGGACUGCUCUGGAAACUGUAAAGCUGGAGUGCAGGAGAGGUAAGCGGAAUUCCUAGUGUAGCGGUGAAAUGCGUAGAUAUUAGGAGGAACACCAGUGGCGAAGGCGGCUUACUGGACUGCAACUGACGUUGAGGCUCGAAAGCGUGGGGAGCAAACAGGAUUAGAUACCCGAGUAGUC
rnacentral:rRNA from 1 species